rnacentral:tRNA from 1 species
GGUUCCUUCGAAUAUCGGUUUAGUUCGCGGCCCUCUCAAGGCUGAAAGGCGGGUUCGAUUCCCGCAGGAACCGCGA